ensembl:snoRNA small nucleolar RNA, C/D box 2
GAGUGACAAGAUGCCAUACCAUCUUUCGGGACUGACACAUCAAUGGAGAACUAUUACUGAUCAUUA